UCUCUUUGAGAUCUCCAGACUUCCUUAUGCGUGCAAGAAAUUUCCUGCUCUGCACUGACAUUUAUCCUUUUCUCAGUUUAAUCUCUGCAAACCAUUACAAUCUCUAAGUGAAAUCUGCACAAGGGAGUUUGAAAUCCUGAACAUGUCUGCUACAGCCAGGAACUUUCAUCUUCAUUCUCAGAUCUCUUUGGAUCUGGGCUGGGUACAGAGUUGGCAGUGUUGGAGAUACUUAACCACAAGUUAUGGAAAAAAUCCUUUAAAUUCUGAGAUUACAUUGUAAUUCUUGCUUUGUCCAGAAUCCUUACAUAUAAAAGAAUCCUCUACUUAUUAUCUGGAAGCUGGCAGAAAAAGAAAUGCCAGUGAGUUUGUUUAAAGAUACAAUUACGAAAUAAAACUUAAUGAAUGGCUGUAUUCCAGAAAAACCUGGAAUCUGAAAUAAAAGCAUCUCUGAGUC